CCUACGGGAGGCAGCAGUGAGGAAUAUUGGUCAAUGGACGAAAGUCUGAACCAGCCAAGUAGCGUGCAGGAUGACUGCCCUACGGGUUGUAAACUGCUUUUAUACAGGGAUAAAGUGAGCCACGUGUGCCUUUUUGCAUGUACCUUAUGAAUAAGGAUCGGCUAAUUCCGUGCCAGCAGCCGCGGUAAUACGGAGGAUCCGAGCGUUAUCCGGAUUUAUUGGGGUUAAAGGGAGCGUAGACGGGUUGUUAAGUCAGUUGUGAAAGUUUGCGGCUCAACCGUAACAUUGCAAUUGAUACUGGCAGUCUUGAGUACAGUUGAGGUAGGCGGAAUUCGUGGUGUAGCGGUGAAAUGCUUAGAUAUCACGAAGAACCCCGAUUGCGAAGGCAGCUUACUAAACUGUGACUGACAUUGAGGCUCGAAAGUGUGGGUAUCAAACAGGAUUAGAUACCCCUGUAGUC
rnacentral:rRNA from 1 species